GUUAUACAAGCAACUCGGGGGCAGUUUUCAAGACAGGCCAGUACAGGAGCCUCAGGGCUCAGCUGCCAGGGGAAGGAAGCCUCACUCUUUCCUCCACACUGUCAAGAUACAAACGUGGAUGGGAAGGGCACACUCCACAGAAAUUCAAAGACCAUGCACCCUGGCUGCGGAGCUCACGGAGGACAGGCCAGAUGCGCAGGAAGAGUGAAGCAAGGCCCGUGAGGCAGGUCAAACGUCAAACCGACUCUAUCGGCAUCCAGAGGGGCUGUGCAGGAGCAGACACACCUGACAGCCUCACUCCAGCUGUGUUGGUGCCAUCCCUUGGGAAGGCAGGAGGUUUCAGGAACAGGAAUCGUUGAUGGGAACAGGUGUUUAGGCCAAAGAAUUCCGAAGAGGUUGGCAUUGCUGCCUUCCCAGAUAGUGGACGGAAACAGGUGGAUGGAGGCCAGGUCACCAGCGGGGAUUAAGACUCAUGCGAUCAAAGCCCAGGAAAGAGGGACUCUACCCUGCCAACCCUCAGCUCGGCUCAGCUCAGCAGCUCGCUAACUGUGAAACUCGGACGGACAUCCUGUGAUCACUCCAACGCUUUAAAAUUCAUCAAAGCGCAGAGCGCUGCCUGGCCGCAGCCCAUUGCUCUGUUGUUCUGAGGGGCAAGGCCACAGCGACCUACAGCAGGGAAGAGACAAACACAGAUCUGGUGCAGAGAUUAUUCGGGUCAUCGAUGACAGGCAGGCAAGAAAGCAGGAGCGUUUCCUGCACGGCCACACCCAAGCAGAACCUUUUCAGGGUACUCAUCCCUUUUUAGGCUGGGCUUCGCUCCCCAGCGAGGUCAGCAGGGCCAGCUGAUUGUUUUUAUUUUACAGGUGUGGGAUUCCCUCUGGGGUCUGACUGCCACACUCAGACACAGAAGGGGCAGCAGGGGCAGGGUUUCUAGAGACAGACCUCCUCAGUCAAAUGCUGGCCACUUACCAGUCAGCAGGCUUGGAAAUGUUAUUUUGCCCCUUUGUGCCUCAGUUUCCUCAGAUGUAAAUGGAGAUAAUAAAUGUACCUAUCUCGAGGAAUAAAUAAAAUCACCCACAGGCCAGCUGUGAUGGCUCAUGAUUGUCAUCCCAAUGCUCUGGGAGGCUGAGGAGGGAGGAUCUUUUGAGGUCAAGAGUUCAAGACCAGCCUGGGCAACAUAGUGAGACUCUGUCUCUACAAAAAUUAAACAAUUGGUGGUGUGCACCUGUAGUCCUACCUACUCGGGAGGCUGAGGUGGGAGGAUUGCUUGAGCCCAGGAGGUCGAGGCUGCAGAGAGCCAUGAGUGCGUCACUGCACUCUGGCCUAGAAGACAGAAUGAGACUAUCUCAAAAAGUAAAUAAAUAAAACAGGUCGGGCGCGAUGGCUCAUGCCUGUAAUCCCAUCACUUUGGGAGGCUGAGGCAGGUGGAUCACCUGAGGUCAGGAGUUCAAUACCAGCCUGACCAACAUGGAGAAACCCCGUCUCUACUAAAAAUACAAAUUUAGCUGGGUAUGGUAGCUCAUGCCUGUAAUCCCAGCUACUUGGGAAGCUGAGGCAGGGGAAUCGCUUGAACCCGGAAGGUGGAGGUUGUGGUAAGCCAAGAUAGCACCAUUGCACUCCGGCCUGGGCAACGAGAGCAAAACUCUGUCUCAAAAAAUAAUAAUAAUAAAUAAAUAAAAAUAAAAUCACCCACAAAACAUGCUGAAAAGACACUUGGCCUGCCGGAA